GAUGAACGCUAGCUACCGGUUUAACACAUGCAAGUCGAGGGGCAGCAUGGUCUUAGCUUGCUAAGGCCGAUGGCGACCGCCGCACGGGUGAGUAACACGUAUCCAACCUGCCGUCUACUCUUGGACAGCCUUCUGAAAGGAAGAUUAAUACAAGAUGGCAUCAUGAGUCCGCAUGUUCACAUGAUUAAAGGUAUUCCGGUAGACGAUGGGGAUGCGUUCCAUUAGAUAGUAGGCGGGGUAACGGCCCACCUAGUCUUCGAUGGAUAGGGGUUCUGAGAGGAAGGUCCCCCACAUUGGAACUGAGACACGGUCCAAACUCCUACGGGAGGCAGCAGUGAGGAAUAUUGGUCAAUGGGCGAGAGCCUGAACCAGCCAAGUAGCGUGAAGGAUGACUGCCCUAUGGGUUGUAAACUUCUUUUAUAAAGGAAUAAAGUCGGGUAUGCAUACCCGUUUGCAUGUACUUUAUGAAUAAGGAUCGGCUAACUCCGUGCCAGCAGCCGCGGUAAUACGGAGGAUCCGAGCGUUAUCCGGAUUUAUUGGGUUUAAAGGGAGCGUAGAUGGAUGUUUAAGUCAGUUGUGAAAGUUUGCGGCUCAACCGUAAAAUUGCAGUUGAUACUGGAUAUCUUGAGUGCAGUUGAGGCAGGCGGAAUUCGUGGUGUAGCGGUGAAAUGCUUAGAUAUCACGAAGAACUCCGAUUGCGAAGGCAGCCUGCUAAGCUGCAACUGACAUUGAGGCUCGAAAGUGUGNGUAUCANACAGG
rnacentral:rRNA from 1 species